rnacentral:rRNA from 1 species
UAGGGAAUCUUCGGCAAUGGACGAAAGUCUGACCGAGCAACGCCGCGUGAGUGAAGAAGGUUUUCGGAUCGUAAAACUCUGUUGUUAGAGAAGAACAAGGACGUUAGUAACUGAACGUCCCCUGACGGUAUCUAACCAGAAAGCCACGGCUAACUACGUGCCAGCAGCCGCGGUAAUACGUAGGUGGCAAGCGUUGUCCGGAGUUAUUGGGCGUAAAGCGAGCGCAGGCGGUUUCUUAAGUCUGAUGUGAAAGCCCCCGGCUCAACCGGGGAGGGUCAUUGGAAACUGGGGGACUUGAGUGCAGAAGAGGAGAGUGGAAUUCCAUGUGUAGCGGUGAAAUGCGUAGAUAUAUGGAGGAACACCAGUGGCGAAGGCGGCUCUCUGGUCUGUAACUGACGCUGAGGCUCGAAAGCGUGGGGAGCAAACAGG